rnacentral:lncRNA from 1 species
AGCACAGUGGGUUGUAGUCUAGUACUUUAAAAGUAUUCAAUUCCUGAUAUAUGUAUAUAAACUCAUCAUACAUACUAGGAUUGAAAUGUUGUAUUUGCGCCACGCUACAAAAGACUCAUAAAAGAGGGACGAAAUAUACCAAAGGGACAGUCAAACUCAUAAAUCGAAAAUAAACUAAUGUCUAAAAAUAGUUCUACACUCUGAUAUCAGGAGAAGUUCCACAUAGAAGAGUUCAAACAGGAACGUCAUUGUGAAUGGAGACAUGUCCUUGUGAGAAUGCCAAUAGGAAUACCUACAUAAAGAGGAUGAGUAUUUACCUCAGAAAAACCAUGGCUAAAAAUAAAAAAGACAAACAGACCAACAAUAGUACACAACAUAGAAAACUAAAGAAUUGGCAACACGGACCCUACCAAAAACUAGGUGUGUGACUCUCGAUUGAAAAAAAAAUCAAAAGUACGAAGUUGAAGAGCAUUGAGGACCAAAAAUUCCUAUAAGUUUUGCCUAAUACAGCCAAG